AGUAGUGGAGCAGAUCAUGGAUCUUAUCUUCCCAAGUGGAGUGGAUCGAAGCACCAAUUCCUAUACCUCUGAAGAUGCGGUAGGAUGGGAUGAGGCUACUUAAAGAAGAGGAACACAAAGGUCCAAGCACGACCGGGCAAAAUUGGUCAUUUUUAAAGUCUUUGCUCCGUUUCCAUUACACGACAAACGAGUAAAGAGGGGCAGCUGUAAUAGGCCAAUUUUGGCUCAAUCCAAAAUAAACCAAAUAAAGUCCAAAUAGUAAAUAAAAACCCAAUUACCCUAGCCUAAUACAAACCCAAUACAUAACAACAAACCCUAGUCCACAAAAAAAUAAAAACAAAAAAGAAAGAAACCCUAAAGCAGAAAAAUCAGCAGUCGCCGCUCCGUCUCCAGCCCCGCACGACUCGGAGCCAGCCUCCGCGCGUAUUGUUUUCUCCGCACUAGCCGCCACAUUCACCUGCAAAGUAGACUAGGAGAGUCCAAAAUUAAAUACAAACAGUGUAAAAAAAAUAGAAAAAAU
rnacentral:lncRNA from 1 species